rnacentral:rRNA from 1 species
ACGAACGCUGGCGGCGUGCUUAACCCCUGCAAGUCGCACGGAAAGGCCCUGCUUUUGUGGGGUGCUCGAGUGGCGAACGGGUGAGUAACACGUGAGUAACCUGCCCUUGACUUUGGGAUAACUUCAGGAAACUGGGGCUAAUACCGGAUAGGAGCUCCUGCUGCAUGGUGGGGGUUGGAAAGUUUCGGCGGUUGGGGAUGGACUCGCGGCUUAUCAGCUUGUUGGUGGGGUAGUGGCUUACCAAGGCUUUGACGGGUAGCCGGCCUGAGUGGGUGACCGGCCACAUUGGGACUGAGAUACGGCCCAGACUCCUACGGGAGGCAGCAGUGGGGAAUAUUGCACAAUGGGCGGAAGCCUGAUGCAGCAACGCCGCGUGCGGGAUGACGGCCUUCGGGUUGUAAACCGCUUUCGCCUGUGACGAAGCGUGAGUGACGGUAAUGGGUAAAGAAGCACCGGCUAACUACGUG